GCGUCCACGGAUGCACGCCGGCCAGCGAGUUUUCGCCCGCCGGCGUAAAACCG
rnacentral:sRNA from 1 species